AUUGAACGCUGGCGGCAGGCCUAACACAUGCAAGUAGAACGAGUGGCGGACGGGUGAGUAAUGUCUGGGAAAAUGCAUGAUGGCGGGGGAUAACUACUGGAAACGGUAGCUAAUACCGCAUACCAUCAGAUGUGCCCAGAUUGGAGUAGCUAGUUGGUGGGGUAAAGGCUCACCAAGGCGAAGCUCCCUAGCUGGUCUGAGAGGAUGACCAGCCACACUGGAACUGCGACACGGUCCAGACUCCUACGGGAGGCAGCAGUGGGGAAUAUUGCACACUGGGCGAAAGCCUGAUGCAGCCAUGCCGCUUGUAUGAAGAAGUCCUUGGGGUUGAAAAGUACUUUCAGCGGGGAGGCGUUACCCGCAGAAGAAGCACCGGCUAACUCCGUGCCAGCAGCCGCGGUAAUUC
rnacentral:rRNA from 1 species